CCGCCCAGCUCCCCCCACUCGGCGGCCGCGCGCUCCGCCAGACCCUUCCUCCCUUCAACGCCCUAGUCCCGAAAUCCGGGAGGCGGGGGUCGGCGAGCAAGCUGAGUGGGAACCGCGUGGUGUACAAGGAGCCAGUCGGCGACCGGUUUCCUUCCAGGCAUAGACCCCUUUUCUUCCAGGCAAACUCCAGCAUGGGGGUACAGAACAUCCUGCUCCAAAGGCAUGAGAAGAGAACAUCCUAUAUUGGCCACUCCUGCCCAAUGUGGAGGGGAGCAGAAACUCCAGAGCCCACCCCUGAAGGCCUUCAGAAAACCGAAAAUAACGCGCAGUUUGAGGCGGUGGACGCCGGCGUGGGAGUGGCACACUUCCCUGCCAGCCUGGCCCCCGGCCCGCAUCCCGAGGGC
rnacentral:lncRNA from 1 species